UGACAUCAGGUGGAACGUGCUCACCAGCCUCGGAACGAGUCAAGGAAAGAUCGGCUGGUUGCCGCAACCGAUCUUGCGCAAAUCCACAACUUAUCGGAUUUGAGGGCUGCUUUUUGCGGAAUACACUGAGACUUUGUCAUUUUGCGCUACAUUUUGCGGAGGACUGUACGGUUUGUGGAGUUUACUGAGGAUUUGAACGAUGGUACGGUAAGGAUUUUUGAAGGUGGGCUCGGCGUUGUCUGUUUUGCUUGGGUCGUCCGAGCUUGCAUGCUUGAUCAACGAAAAGAAGAGUUCGAACAUUUGCAGUCUGCAUUUUGAGCUCUUCUUUCGUAGCCAUGCUGCCAUUGCUGCGUCGAGCAGUGCCGCUGGUGGCGGCGAGAUCAGCCCUGCAGCUGCAAAGGUUAGGCCAGAGCGGUGCACGCCGAUUCAACAGCGUGCCGUCAGCUCCUGAGAAGCCUUACAGUGCUGUGGGACUGCUGUUCGUCACCGCUGUAGUUACACCCAGUGUCUUGCUAGGCGGCUACAUCUCCAAGCAGGGAGCAAUCAUGCUUGAAGACCUCAAUAUCUUCGUUCCAGACGAUGACGAUGAUGACUAAUUUCAGGAAACUUGAACAGGCCAUCUAGUUUCGGUCAACUUGCGUGCUGGCACGGAAGUCGUUAUUUUGUUUUUUUUUGUCCCGAAAAAGACGUGUCAGCUUGUCCCGCUAGUGCUCUGCUUGCUUUGUGUGCUACCGUUAGCUGGCUACUGAAGUAGUGUGUGUGUGUGCGUGUGCGUGAGCGCGUGUCCUUUUUGCCGACCAGUGUAGGUCCAAUCCUAGCACAGUCACUUUGGGGUUGUGCUUCAGCAGCCGUAAUUUAUGCUGUGCUGUUGCCGGAGCACCUCUGUCUGUAACUUAAAUUCUGAUGCUGUACAGACCGCUGCUCAUGCUAGUUGUUAUUUCCACGUCAAGGCACUUGUUUGUAACCAACACGCCAGUGCAUCUUGUUACAUGUGUAGUUCUUUUUUGUUGAUGUCAUUUAGUUCUGUUUCCCCCUUGCCUGGACUGUCUCAUCAACAUGCUGAUUAAAAAAAGUUGCUUUUAACUCUUCGUUUCGAAAUCAUGAUUACCGACUUCAUUGCUCAACAAUGAAGUUUGAAAGCUGA